GGCAGGCUUGGGAUAUUUAGUUUCCACAGUGAAACUUCAUCCGAUCUCACCUAUAUGGUUGCACGGAACAAAGGUGAGAGUCCCAGCCAGUGGGUGAUGGAGAAAACAAUUUCACUAGAUUCAGGGUACAAAUAUUUUAUCAGAGAUGCAACACAGAGGUACUUGCUCUUGACAAGGAUAGAAGCCUCAUCUCUGGAGAAUCCACUUGUUGAAUGUUUCUCAAUGGAUGUCAAGGCGUUGCAACUUCAGAGGAUUUAUGACAAACCGCAAUAUCUUAAGUAUGAGACAUACACAUAUAUCAACUUCCCACCAUCAUUAUUGUCUUCAAGGAGAAUAUGA
rnacentral:rRNA from 1 species